AUGGAUGACUGGGUCACUUGGCUGUACAGCAGAAAUUGGCACAACACUGUGAAUCAACUAUAUAUGUUCAUUAAAAAAAUGUUUUCUGAAGUCUCUGCUUCAGUUCCUGACACAACAAAUACCCAUUUGUUCCAUCCUCCCCAUCACUUACAGGGAAAAUACACAAUAAAUGCUUGUGAACCAAAUGAAGCAGUGUUCACCUGGAACAGGAUCCACCUGAGUUUUGUUGGAUAUUUGUUUUUCAAAAAUCAAUUUGACCGGCCACAUCAAAGCAAACGUAAAUACGUCAAAGACUGGCCAGGGGUCAGCCACAGGGAAUUCACUGAUCUAUAUUUGCCUAAAGUUUGAAGCCAGCGGCCGCAUGUGACUUUCUGCCUCAGAAAUCGUUGCACUGGUGAAAGAAGCGCUGUAUUUCCUUCAUGAUUUGGCCCUGUGUUGUCCUUCUUACAGAACCUUUGCUGGCUCCACCUCAGUCCGUCCUAAAAGCCUGGUGAACUUUGAAAUCACCCUGCAAGUAUGUCUUUAGAUCCUUCUAUCUUAUUGUAUUUGAAAAGCAUGGUCUUGCUCAUGGUGAGAAAAAAAAAAGCCCCCACAUGCUUCCAAUACCUUCCGCCAAAAACAGGACCCACCCUAAAAAUUUCGGGUGGCUUUUUAAGCCUAUUUUUCCUGACCGAGCAUCUCUGAUAACAAUCUUUCCAUCGCUUUUGUAAAACCACAUAGGCUUCCCAUAACCUAGUGGGACCUUGAACUCUGCCCAUGGAAGGGAAAGCACAGAAAAGGGCUGGAAUAUACACACUGCAAAAGCAAAUAAGAGUUUGAACUCCACCUGCCUUUUAUUUGGCAAGCCAUGAGCGUCUCCUUUCCCUCCUGCCCUCAGAGGACAGAGGGCCAUUGCAGCCUUGAAGGCCAUAACCUUCUUCUGCUUGGAGGUCUACGCCAAAACCUUCACUCGAGGAAGCCAGAGAGUGGCCUCCCUACACUGUCCAAUUUCUCAGCAUCACGGACAAAUCCCAUUUCCCCCAAGAUGGUUGUUCUGGGCUGAGCCAGUCUUCUGUGCUGUGCAGCAAAACCUGGAGCAGCUCCACAUGUGUUCUCUUGUCAAGACUUUUAGGACCUGCGGGCCUGGUUGGAGAGGCGGGAAGGCUGGAAGCACUGUUUUGACUUUGAUUUUGUGGCAUUGGAAAGACAGAGACAUAUGAACUGGAAUUUUUGCAAAGUGUACGUGGUUGGGGGUGGGGGGGAGGGGAGGGUUCUGGCCAUCGAUGGCUUUGGCACGCCUCCGCCGAGUAAGAAUUCCCCAAAGAGUUAAAAGCUCUUCUGAAUAUGAAGAGCUGUAAAAAUCGCCUUG
rnacentral:lncRNA from 1 species